UGCAUUCCACGUCUUUGCUCGCUUUUCAUGUCCCGGAUGUGAGAUUUCCUGCAUUUAAAGCACAGUGUCUGGAGGUGGAAUGUGCAACCUCCGAGCAGAACGAUGCAGGCUAAUGUGCGCAGUUGAUACGCCGGUUGAAUGGUGCACCUAUGGAACAUUCCUGGAAAAGAAACAUUGAAAUAAGACCUCUUGCCUUCUGCCAGUUAUGUUAUUUUUCCCCCCCAUAUGUAGGCUGCUCUUGUUCUGGACAGAUUUACCAAGCAUGUCAUCUUCCUUAUUUCUCCAGACAUUGUACUCAAAUUUCCGAAAUAAAUGAUGAACUGAGUUACAAAA